GAUGAACGCUAGCGGCAGGCCUAAUACAUGCAAGUCGGACGGGAUUCAGGAGCUUGCUUCUGAUGAGAGUGGCGCACGGGUGCGUAACACGUAUGUAACCUACCUUUAUCAGGGGGAUAGCCUCUCGAAAGAGAGAUUAAGCCCGCAUAAAAUCACAGCACAGCAUUGUGUAAUGAUCAAAUAUUUAUAGGAUAAAGAUGGGCAUGCGGAACAUUAGCUAGAUGGCGGGGUAACGGCCCACCAUGGCGACGAUGUUUAGGGGAUCUGAGAGGAUGGCCCCCCACACUGGUACUGAGACACGGACCAGACUCCUACGGGAGGCAGCAGUAAGGAAUAUUGGUCAAUGGGCGGAAGCCUGAACCAGCCAUGCCGCGUGCAGGAAGACGGCCCUACGGGUUGUAAACUGCUCUUAUACGGGAAUAAACCCAGAUACGUGUAUCUGGCUGAAUGUACUGUAAGAAUAAGGAUCGGCUAACUCCGUG
rnacentral:rRNA from 1 species